CAGUAGCCGCGGUAAUACGUAGGGUGCAAGCGUUAAUCGGAAUUACUGGGCGUAAAGCGUGCGCAGGCGGUUAUAUAAGACAGAUGUGAAAUCCCCGGGCUCAACCUGGGAACUGCAUUUGUGACUGUAUAGCUAGAGUACGGCAGAGGGGGAUGGAAUUCCGCGUGUAGCAGUGAAAUGCGUAGAUAUGCGGGGAACACCGAUGGCGAAGGCAAUCCCCUGGGCCUGUACUGACGCUCAUGCACGAAAGCGUGGGGAGCAAACAGGAUUAGAUACCCCAGUAGUCCCUGUCUCUUAUACA
rnacentral:rRNA from 1 species